rnacentral:rRNA from 1 species
AGCGCAGGUGGUUUAUUAAGUCUGGUGUAAAAGGCAGUGGCUCAACCAUUGUAUGCAUUGGAAACUGGUAGACUUGAGUGCAGGAGAGGAGAGUGGAAUUCCAUGUGUAGCGGUGAAAUGCGUAGAUAUAUGGAGGAACACCGGUGGCGAAAGCGGCUCUCUGGCCUGUAACUGACACUGAGGCUCGAAGGCGUGGGAGCAAACA